rnacentral:lncRNA from 1 species
AUGGUCUGGAGAAGUCUUGUGGGGUCUUGGGGGUCUCCUAUAGAGCCUACGGAGGCCCUUACUGUAACCGUAGGAGCUCUAUAGGGUCUCUGUAGGAGCUCUGUAGGGUCUCAGGAAGCUCUCACACUACCUGCAGAAGUCCUGUGGGGUUUCAGGGGACUCCUAUAGAGCUUAUAGGCGCUCCUAUAGUGCCCACAGGGGCCCUAUUGGGUCUGAGGGGGUUCCUGUAGUGCCUGGGGGAGCCCAGUGGGGUCUCUGAGGGCUCCUAUAGAGCCUACGAGGGCUCCUAUAGUAACUGCAGGAGCCAUAUACAGUUUUAGGGUUCUCCUAUAGGAUCUGUGGGGGCUUUUAUUGUAACGAGGAGCUCUGUAGGGCCUCAGGGGGCUCCUAUAGGGCCUAGGGGGGCUUCUAUAGCCCCAUAGGAACUCUGUGGGGUCUCUGGUGGCUCCUAUAGCACCAAUGGGAGCCCUAUAGGGUCUUGGGGGGCUCCCAUAGCACCUGGGGGUGCUGCCCCAGACCCCACCCCAUAGCAUCCCCUAUAAUUACCCAGUAGACGGCCCCGCAGCCCACCCCAUAGCAUCCCCUAUAGCAGACGCGGGGGCUCGGCCACCUCCUCUUUAUUGGGGUCUGGGGGUCAGGGGGCGCGGGGGCGGGGCUCUCGUUAGCGGCGUUAAUGAGGGGGCAAUAAAUAACGACGGGGGGCGGAGCCUGCCCGGAGGGGCGGGGCCUCCCGGCCACACCCAGCAGCUGGUGGGCGGAGCCGGCGGGCAGCAGGCCAAUCGGAGCCCGGUGGGCGUGUCCAGCCGGCGGUGGGCGUGGCCAGAGGCGAGUGGGCAGAGCCUGAGGCCCCAGCAGCGGCUCCGGCCGGUGGGGGGCGUGUCCAAAGGAGGGUGGGCGUGGCCUCGGGGCGGUGGGCGUGGCCGUCAGGUUGUGGGCGGGGCCUCGGGGCGGGCCUGCUGGGGGCGCAGGUCGAGGUCGGGGUCGCCCCCGGGCACGGGCGGGGGCUGCACCGGGGUCACCUCGGGGCUUCCCGCCCCCUUCCUGCGGGGUCAAAGGUCAGGGGUCAUGCCCUGACCCCCACAUCACCCCACGUCCCCUGGCCCCCCUCCCCU